UUAAAGGGUGUGUAGGCGGGUAUUUAAGUCAGUGGUGAAAUCUCCGAGCUCAACUCGGAAACUGCCAUUGAUACUAUUUAUCUUGAAUAUUGUUGAGGUAGGCGGAAUAUGUCAUGUAGCGGUGAAAUGCUUAGAUAUGACAUAGAACACCGAUUGCGAAGGCAGCUUGCUAAACAAUUAUUGACGCUGAGGCACGAAAGCGUGGGGAUCAAACAGGAUUAGAUACCCGU
rnacentral:rRNA from 1 species